GUGUAGGGCAAUCUGUAGGUAAAAUUACUCUAAAAUAAAUCCUAUCUAAAUCCUAGAUAGUUUUCCCUUAGAGUCAAGUAUCUUGU
rnacentral:pre_miRNA from 1 species